GACGAACGCUGGCGGCGUGCUUAACACAUGCAAGUCGAGCGAGGCCCUCCUUCGGGAGGUGUCCUAGCGGCGAACGGGUGAGUAACACGUGGGCAACCUGCCCCUAGCUCUGGGAGUAACUCCGGGAAACCGGGGGCGUAAUACCGGAUACGACUUCUGAACGCAUGAUCGGAAGGUGGAAAGUUUUUCGGUCGUAGGGAGUGGGCCCGGCCGGCCUCUCAGCUUGUU
rnacentral:rRNA from 1 species